rnacentral:tRNA from 1 species
GGGCGAUUAGCUCAGCGGUAGAGCGGCUGCUUUACACGCAGCGGGUCGGGAGUUCGAAUCUCUCAUCGCCCACCA